AUUAUGGAAACAUAAUUUAAGACUUCUUAAAGGGACAUGUUGGGUUUACCAGCGGGAAGUUUGAGGCAAUAACAGGUCUGUGAUGCCCUUAGAUGUUCUGGGCCGCACGCGCGCUACACUGACGAAUUCAACGAGCUUUAAAAAAAGUAUUCAUUUUUUUUAUAUCCUUAAUCGGAAGAUUUGGGUAAUCUUUUAAUGUUCGUCGUGAUGGGGCUAGAUUCUUGCAAUUAUUAAUCUCCAACGAGGAACC
rnacentral:rRNA from 1 species